UUGGGAUGGCUGAACUGGUGUAGAAAAAUCGGUUCGCUCACUUUUACUCAGACACAAUCUUGAGAUCUGUGGUUUGCUUGGGUCUGGUGUUGAGCCCAUUCAGCCCUUCAGUGUUACACACCCCGUGAAACACAGAAGAAAAUCUUCAAGGCAAAAUGGAGCAGUUUUGUCCAAUGGACCACAAAGCCUUGGUAAGGUCAUAUGACACAUCAGAUGUGAAUUGUUAACAAUAAUUGCAUAGAUCUGGCUCACAGCUAAGCUAAACCUGAAGGAAAUGGAAUCCCAAGAAGCCUCUCCAGCUCAGUCACACCCCUCAUCCUGGGAGACUCCGGGAGAGCAGAUGUGUGGUUUGUGAUAUGCCCUGAGUGUUAUCAAAUCAAGGUCCUAUUGAGCUAUGAAGUGAAAUGACUUACAGAGCUCAGAAGGAACUCCUUAUGGAAAAUGCCUUGCCAGCAACCCUCUUUUUUUUUAAAUCAAAGGACUGUCAGCUCUCAUGCAUCUGCUGAUUGCAGCUGUCAUGGUGUCAUCUGGAAAGAAAGGUGAACCCUUGUGACUCAACACACAAACUUCAAAUGUUAGCACAGCACACAUUGCCAAUUACAGAAACAUCAGGCUGGCGCACUGUUGGUGGGGAAAAUAAGAAUUCAAGGUUCGUUGUACAUUCAAAGUCAUCUGCCUUAAAAUCAACAAGGUGCAGAAAGAGGAUAAGAAUCUCUUUUCUAGAAGCUGAAUUAUCAACUGCAUCUUAUGUAUCAAAAACUGUAACAAGGCCUGAAUGUUACAGUUUUCUGUAUGUUUUCUGUAGUUUUCUUAAUGUUUUCUCAAAUGUCAAAAGCCCUGUCAAGAUGUCUAGAUCUCCAGUUUUACACUGAUAAUUGUUGUAUCUUGUCCAUACAUCAGUCUACAGCAUAUUAACACAAUUUGGUAAAUCAAAGUCAAAAUUAACACUAUACUGACAGCACAGGGACUUUAAAAAUUUUACACUGGGUUGUACUAAAAUUCAGAGGGAUCAUUUAUGUGAUUACUAGUCGCUCAGAUAUUCCUCCACAUUACUCUAUCUAAUGUAUCACAUUAGAUGCACAACUUGCACAUGUUCAGUGGUAAUAAAGGCAACUAACAGUCCUGAAAAGCUGAAUCAACAUUUUAUCCUAAACAGUUACUGCAGGAAGGCUGAGCUAAAACUCUAGGCAAGCUGUCAGUAGCUAAUAUUAGCCUACAGGUAGAGAAUUACUUUUUUUCCUUUAUUAUUUCAAAGCAAUUUUCAAAGACUGCAGAAAAUAUUCUCUAGGCCACAGAGAAAAUCCAACAGAUCAUUUUUGUGCUGAUGCAGCUGCAAGUGCUGUUUGCUAGAUCAUAUCUCAGCUUGGUCAUUGCAAUAUCAAAGUAUGAUUUUAUAAACCCGGUAAACCAUUUAACUCUUGUGUAAAACACAUUAUACAUGCUAAUGGCUUCAUUUGGCUAAGCUGGCUUCGUCAUUUUUCUGCAGCUGGACGUAAGCACUAUAUACUGAUAUACCCUCAUAGGUUAAGCAACUCCUUAAUGGAAUAUAUUGCCUUGGAGUCUUUAGUCUUUAUGAAAAAAGUCCCUAUCACUGCCCAGAGAACUAUUUUGUGUGCAGUAAUUAUGUAAUAUUAAUGAGCAAUAUUAUGUACAACUGUAUUUUCCAGCCCAUUCUUUGUAUGGAAUGUACUUUAGAAUGACCUGACACUGCAAAAAUGCCUCUAGCUUCCAUGGCCCAUGUAAAAUACAAUAAAUACAUAAAUAAUUUAGAGGAGGAAAUAGGUAGUGUUGCAAAGGUGCUGGUAUUCUUACCACUGUACUUCAAAAUCUGGCGAUGUGGCCUUUGGAAAUGUGUUUUUCUUUUUCAUUUUAGGAUUCUGCUUCUUCAAGCUGGAAAAAAAAAAUUCCACACAGUGCCUUCCACAAGAAGAGGCUCCAUUAAGACUAAUGAAAAUGCUGAUUCUGCACAACAGAUGCCACAGAUCCUCCAGGAGAGCUGUAGGAAAGAAAUGGACUCUUAAACAGCGAUUUGCAAGGGAAAAACUGGACUGACUUCUCUGCAUGGGACUUAAGGAUUCUAUAACUGGAAAGAUGAAGAAGUUGGCAAGAACUAUCCACCAUGCUGUUUUCUGACUGCUGCUAGCCCCCGAGAGAUGGUUUCAUUCCGUUAGUAUUUACUGCCCAUAAAUUGCAACCAGCAUGUUGAGAUGCUGUUAGGAAAGGAGCAAUAAAAACACAGGAAAUAUGACUGCUCAAAAUCAUAUUAUCUACUGCAGGAAUAUGGAACCAGAUCCUCACGUCCUGUGCCUUUAUUUCAGCAAAGGAGCUGGCCUAUUACUUCUAUUUAAAAUUGGUUGCCAUGGUGGUAUCAUCCGGGCUUUCACCCUGAUGAAAAUUGUUUGCAUCUGUGACACAGUAGUGCUGGCAACCCAAUGUUUGCAUCUACCUCUAACACAGAAGUAAUUGUGAGAAUGGAACCUGGCUGUUCACCUUUGCACAGUAAACAGGUUCCUUAAGCACACACAUAGCUCUUGCUGUUAAACCUGCAUGGAAGUGGAAAAGCAGUUGGUUUGACAGCUGCUGAGGCUGCUGCGGAAACCUCAGACAAAAUGGAAGUGCUGAAGUGAAACUCCAUGAGCAGGCUGACCCUUCCCCAGGGGUGAUACUGGUGCAUGGGUGUGAUUUUGCAGUACCAGUGGAAUUUCUGGGAAGUUAAAGGUCUCCCAUUUUCAAAUAGAUGGGAAGCCCUGCCUGACAUUCAGAUCUGCUGAUACAAGAGUCUCUCUCUUCCAUUUUCUAAUGAGUCUUAAUCAUUAGCGGCUAGUGAUCCUAUUAGGUGAAUGGCAGCCGCUACCAGGAGACUCAGAAAUGUCAAUGAACAGUAGAACAGGCUAAAAAAGGGACUUUUCAUAUGCAUUUAUUUUAGGUAACAGUUCAACUUCUGGCCCAAACUGGCCAUGGGUUCAGGUGUAAGAGUGCCAGAAUCUCAUGAGGGUCCUUCAGAACUUCAUCCUGCUUCCCACUGGAUUCUCUAGGGCAUGUUCACAGAAAAACCCAAGACAGUCCAGGCCUCAAAGGGACAUUUAGGCUUGAAGCUUUCUGUCUAAUAAAAAAAUUGUUUUGGAAUGCUAAACCUCAAACAGGAACACAUAGGGUUAACGCUCUUCCCUGCAUAAGCUGUCAGCGCUAUACUUUGAACAAAACAGCAGCAGCUUUACUAGCUAGAGUAGUGCUUGUUAAAUUGAAUUAAAUCUGGAGCACUAGUAUCAGUCCCUUCUCUUUACCUUUAUUGGGAAAUCCUGCUUUCCAGCAUAUGUGAUAAGUGGGGGAGGAGGAACUCAAGAGCAGCUCUGAACAAUGAACAAGGACCAAAUGUUAUCAGCAGGAAAGAAAUUCUGCUAGUGCCAACUCCAUAAUGGCAGUUAGCAUUUUGCAGAGCAGAAUCGACCUGGGGCGCCGGCUCUAUAUUCCUCUCUAGUUUGCAAAUAAAAAGCUGGGCAGUCGCCUGUCUGUCUUUCCAGCACACAUACUGUAUUUCAGCCUGCAAUGCCGAUUCUGCUGAGCUGUAAGUGAAAGAUCUGCUGAGUAAGAAAUUAUUAAAGGCAAGCAAGAGCCUCAUUGUUUUCUGGUGAUGUCAGCGUGGCCCUUAUCAAUAAUUGAACAGCUUUUCCAGGAACACAAUCUAGAGAGACCAGAGCCUGUGUUACCACGUUGCCACUUCACUCAUGUUCCAGGAAAGGUUGCUCUCCACAGAGGCAAUAUUGUGCCAUUUCUUUAUUCUGCAGGCUCACGAUGCUGGGAGCUGAGGCAGUGCUCCAUCUGAUACACCACUUCCCACCCACAUGCUGUCACACUUAAAAGCAUCACAGGCUUGAAAUAGGGACCAUUUUAAAAGGGACCAGCCUGUCUGCUGCAGGCUGGAGCCCACUGGGGUGUUCGGAGGGAGAGCUGUGGGUCUUUCAGAGUCCACGAG